GCGCAAAUAUGGCGUUCCGGACGUGCUCUGCAGUUUGCUUGGCCUCUACUCAAGGUGCACCGGAUGUCCAAUCACCAAGGAAUGCUGAUGGUAUAGCAAGAAGGUAUUCUGAGCAUUAUAUCAAUGGGGAGGUUCUAGAUCUUUCGCAAAGCAGGAGCAAGCUGCCCUGUUGUGAGCUCUCUGGUGGAGAGCCCCACAUGGCAAGAAAAUGAAAAGCCCCCUGGAGAGACAAGAGCUGAGGCCCAGGAUACAAUAUCCUGAAAAAAACUGAAUCCUGCUGACAACUGCCCAAGUGAAGCUGGAAGUGCAUCUUUCCGCAGUGGAACCUUGAGAUGACUGCAGCCCUGGCUGACAACUUGAUUGCAGCCUGUGAAGGACCCUGAACUAGAGGACUCGGCGAAAUUGUGCCUGGAUUCCUGACCUACAGAGGCAGUGAGAUAAUAAAUGCUGUUGUUUGAGGCCACAAAGUUUUGAGGUAUUUGUUAAUACAGCAACGGAUACUUAAUACAGCUUCCUACAUGGUCUCCCUCCUUCACCCUUCACACUACAGUCUGUUGUCCACACAGCAGUCAGAGAUCCUUUUGAAACGUAAGUCAGAUCAUCAUGACACUUACUUCCUUGCUAAGUGGGCUGCAAGGCCUUUCACAGUCUGAUCCCCUAUCCUCUCUCUUUCCCCAUCUCCUAUCAUUCUUCCCCUUGCAAAUUUUCUUCCAGCACGUGGGCCUGCCUGCUGUUCUUCAGUAUGGCAAGCAACCUGCUGCCCGGAGCCCACACACUGACUGUCCCCUCUCCUAGGACACUCUUCCCUCAAGGGCUCCCACAUCUUGCCUGCUGGCUCCCGCAUCUUCUUCAAGUCUGCUUAAAUGUCACCUUCUCAGUGAGGCCCAUCCUGGCUAUCCUCUUUCAGUUCUGACACAAAAUAAUUUAUCCCUUUAUUACAUCGUUAUUUUGUUGUCUUCCCUCCUUCUGUUCCUACUAAAAUUUAAUCUCUAGGAAAGCAGAAAACGUCUUGUUCUUUGCUGUAACCCAAGUGCCUCGAACAUUGCCUCAUUAAUUGCUUGCACUCAAUAAUAUGUGUUGAAUAAAUGGGUUAAGUAGUUUAUUAAUUGUGAAGCUAAAUCCCGUCUGAAAGGUUUGGAGCAGCUUGUUGAAAUAGCAAAUAGAGAUUCUGUGUUUUAAGUUGUGGUUUAGGUAGAAUCAUCCAUGAUGUACGUGGAGCCAGAUCCUGCGUCCUGGAAUCAAAUAUCUGUAUCUGACCUGUGGGUAAUUAUAUUGCUAUCCUAUACCUUUGACCCAUUCAUCUCGGCUCACCUGUGAUCCAGGCUAUACUCCUAAACUUGGGUGAGAGAGUCUGCAACACAAGGAAAACACAGAGCCAUCAUUUAGUAAAUCACACCCAUAAUAAUACAUUUUGUUGUUAAAUGUAGCCAAUCUCUGAGUAUUUUUUAUUAAAGUAUCUCUAAUGUUUAAGAGCAUCUAACACAUUCAUCAUGUUUCACCUGUCCUCAGCCCCCGCUUGGCUUCCCUCCCAUAUGCGUCAGUGCCCAAAGUCCAGAAGGGGCCAAGGUGGCAGGGAGCUGGCGUGUCAGUGCUACCCUGAGUGUGUGCCCACCUGGCUGGGCUGUGACAGUGCCCGGGUUCAGCCCCAACCUUGCUCCAUAAUUGGAACGGGCACUGGGAGCAGGGAGAGGCCAGGCAGUGGGAGCAGACACUUCGCAGGGGGGCCUUCCUGGGCCCCCAAGAACACAGAGAUGCCUGGGUUUGCAGCCGGGCUUGGGCAACUGCAGCAGCACCUGGGGAGGGCGGGGCUUCUGCCUGUUCCGUGGAGUGUAUAACCCCAGCAGUGCCUCCCUGCUGCAGCCGAUGUCCUGGCAGUGGCCACUCUAGAUCGGCCACUGAUGCCACCAGUAUGACAUUAAUGUAGUAGAUUUAAAAUUUUCAGGGGAUUUAAUUAAUCAUGAUUUUAAGUGGUACUAAUGUUUCUGGAAAUUUAAUCUCUUAGACUUGACUUAUUUGAACAUUCAUCAUAGAGCAAUCUAAAGUUAUUGUUUCUAAUUUACAUAAAAAUUACUACCUAUAAAACAGAAUAAUAACUUUAUAAGUUGAAAUAAAAGCCUUAAG
rnacentral:lncRNA from 1 species